CAAACCACAACUUUUGACAAGUUCGAAAAACGCAAAGACUAUGCGAGAAGCAAAAAAUCUUGCACUGUCGGCCAAAAAACUUUUCGCCAAAACUAAAAAAAAG